AAAACUCAUUCAUUAUCUUUAUUUCCGUAAGAUGAACUGGAUUCGAGGUUUUCACAUGAGAAACAAACAACCUUCCAUACAUCAGAGUCUUCCAUAGGUGAAUUCUGCAUUUUCGUGUCCAUUUGUUUAUUUAUUUUCCUUUUGUUAUGUUGUUUGCUCCUGACAGACAUUGCUAUGGUACUUUGAAUUAGCAUGGCCAUAGAAGCACCUUACGAUCACCGUCGUGUUCUCCUUCGCCUCCCCAAACACCUCCGCCUGCAGAUCCGAUGAGCACGUGCAGUUAGCUUUACAUCGCAGGGACCUCAUGGUCGGGUGAGCUUGCUUUGGUCUCUACAAUGAUGUAUGUCCAUGCUACUGCAAGCGCCAACAGCACCAUCUCAAUCUUGGUCACCUGUUAUCCGAACCAGUGUCACAAGACGUCGUUAUAGACAAGGAAUUUUAUUUUCGGAUGCAGUUCGCACAGCCAUCACAAUUCAAGUUAUGUAUUGGAAGUUGCAGUCAUUCUUUGAUACCAAAUGAAGAUGACCAAAACUACAGAUGAUAACUCCAAAUGGAUUGAUAUUUGCAUAGAUGUUCAUCACUGCUGCUUCAUAUGCACCUUGAGGUGUAUGUUUUAUACUGCAGAAUUUUGGCACGAAUGAUUGGGUUUAGCUGAAAUGCAUGUCUUAACAGAUUAGCUGCACCUUUCUAUAAUGCAUACAUUUUGGCACAAUCUCCGCUAUAUCUUCCAAUCUAGGUACUUUUCUAUUUUACUGACCCCCUUGGGUCACAAUUUCAGUACAAGAUGUAACUGAACAAAAGCAAUUCUUGCCUUUAAAUUUUGUGAAGUCUUUUGAUUCAGGUUUUGUAAUUUCAGUUCAGCUGCUUCACUACAACUGCAGUUGAUUCUUUGUUUUGGGCUAUCAGCAUUUCCCAUUAUUGACCUUAUCCCAUUAUGGCCCUUUCCUUUU